AGCUUAUUUUGCGCAGGCGGAACUCGACCGCCCGUUCAAGCCAUGAUCGGCUUUAUUGAUGAUCAUCGCGUGGUCCAUGGGGUCGAGUCGAUCUGCAGGGUGCUGCCGAUUGCCCCA
rfam:Pseudorhodobacter antarcticus strain CGMCC 1.10836 genome assembly, contig: Ga0079835_1108